rnacentral:rRNA from 1 species
GUCCACCUCCCAUCCGUGUCUAUCUGUACCCUGUUGCUUCGGCGUGGCCACGGCCCGCCGGAGACUAACAUUUGAACGCUGUCUGAAGUUUGCAGUCUGAGUUUUUAGUUAAACAAUCGUUAAAACUUUCAACAACGGAUCUCUUGGUUCCGGCAUCGAUGAAGAACGCAGCGAAAUGCGAUAAUUAAUGUGAAUUGCAGAAUUCAGUGAAUCAUCGAGUCUUUGAACGCACAUUGCGCCCCCUGGUAUUCCGGGGGGCAUGCCUGUCCGAGCGUCAUUGCUGCCCUCAAGCACGGCUUGUGUGUUGGGCUUCCGUCCCUGGCAACGGGGACGGGCCCAAAAGGCAGUGGCGGCACCAUGUCUGGUCCUCGAGCGUAUGGGGCUUUGUCACCCGCUCCCGUAGGUCCAGCUGGCAGCUAGCCUCGCAACCAAUCUUUUUAACCAGGUUGACCUCGGAUCAGGUAGGGAUACCCGCUGAACUUAAGCAUAUCAAAAAGCGGA